UGUUUGUGACGUGUAAACUGGAAAACGAAACUAAAGACACUGGAUUUCCCAAGAAAGCAUUCGCUUGACAGGACAUACAGAUACCUCGGUUUGAAUUUGAUGGCAGUUUCUGUAGUCACGGUCGACACACUUCACAUUUUCUGCAUAAUAUAUCUAAGGAAAAUUACCAGACUGAGCGUUACUUUAAUCCAGACAAUAACUGAUUCGUGAACGUCGGCACACUGUUCGAAGACGAGAUUAACAAAUGUCUCAAUCCAAACCGCUCCUAAUCCCUUGGCUGCGCGAACAGAUAAAUAGUGGCCAGUAUCCAGGGGUUACCUGGACCAAUCAGGAGCGAACAGAGUUCUGCAUCCCUUGGAAACAUGCUUUGAGGCAGGAUUCCUGCAGCGAUGAUGUACUUAUUUUCAAGGCGUGGGCUGAGGUUAGCAAUGGUAGGGUUCAAGGUGACCCCUCCAUUUGGAAGAGAAACUUCCGUUCUGCCCUCCGAGCCAAGGGGUUCAAAAUGCUCCUUGACAAUAAAAAUGAUGCAGCCAACCCCAACAAACUGUUCCAGUGGCCAGAUGAGGCACCCACGGGAGGAUCUCAGCACCCAGAACAUGAUCUGUAUCAAGAUCCCAGUCCAUUACAAGAAAGUGAUGGUCUACCAUGUUUGAAUGACCUUUACCAUGCAGCAGAAGAAACUGUAUACACAGCAGAGGGGAUCUCAACCACUUUCAACCAGGAUAUACUUCAGAAAUGUCUGCAAGGGUUGAACAUUGAACAAACAGCUGGGAACCAACCGUUCCAAUGUGGCACUCUAGACCAGGGGUCUCCAACAGAGGCUAUUCAGGGUUAUGAACUCACCGUCGAGCAACGGCAAUAUCCAAUGGAGGGUGCGAUUGGAGGGCAUGUUUUGCAAGGGCAACAGCAGUAUCCGGUUGUAAUGGAGGAUGCUGUGGGAGGAGCCGUGUUGCCCCCGCAACCGGUGUAUCCAAUGGAUGGACCCGUAGGUGGUGCCCAUGAACAGCAGGUGGUGGAGCAGUUCACAAAUGAAUUGUCCAGAACCAUGGUGGGCGAAAAUUUUAAGACUCACUUCAGGGUUUCUGUGUACUACCGGGGAUUGAAGAUGCUUGAGCAGCUGGUUGAGAACGAGGCAGGGUUCAGAUUAGUCUACAGACCUGAACUUACACAACCGCUUCUGGACCCAGACUCUGGCCUGAAUCUGGUCUCUCUGCCCAGUCCACCGCCUGUUCGGGAUGAAACUCAGGCCAAACUGACCCAAGAUAUCCUGGCUCUCCUGGGAGAGGGCCUGGAGGUGGGUGCCUCCGGGCCCAUCAUCUACGGACUCCGUAAGGGUGGAAUUAAGGCCUUCUGGAGCCUUGACAAGUUUGACAAGAGCAGGAGGCCCCAGGCAGUGUCCAAAUUCCCGGAACCACUAUAUCAGGCCAAGGACUUCUAUGGAGGGCUGUUGAAGUUCAUGGACAGUCAUAGAGGAGAAUGUCCCCCCUUUUCUCUAUUCUUCUGUCUGGGAGAGAAGUGGCCAGACCCGGACAACAGACCCUGGGAGAAGAAACUGGUCAUGGUCGAGGUGGUGUUAACCGCUCUGGAGCUACUGAAGUCAAUAGCGGUGGAAGGUGGUGCCUCCUCUCUGCAGUCUGUGGAACUGCAGCUGUCCUUGCAGGAGUCCCUGCAGGAGAUGAUGGACUUGUGCUAAAGAGGGACUGAUCCACCUACUGUAUAAGGUUUCGCUGUGGAAAAUGUACAAAUUCUGAUUAUCCCUUCUAUCAUAAAGUUUACUAUUUUGUAUGACCAUAUUUGAUCAACUGUUCGGUACCAAAACAACAGGGUCAAGCAAUGGCGACAAGGUUGUCAAGGCAUAUCUUGAAACUUAAUAACAAAAUCAGGGCAUCAAUAAAACUGAAUAACCUGAAGAGGCGUGCAGUACCAUUCUCCAAUCUCCCUCAACUGCUGACUUUCAAGGUGACAAUCAAUCUGGAGGGUGCUGUCUGGAGCCAAUGUGGGGAGAGUUUCUGUUUAACCUCAAACAAAAUCAAGCUUUUCUUGGUAUGAGAAAGCUUGAAUGUAGACCUUACCACAUUGCUCAUUAAUGUUUAUUUAAAUGAUCAGACUGUUCUUCCUUGUCUUUGUCAUGGAAAAAUGUUUGGAUUUCAAGGUCUUUAUACUGUAAUUGUAAAUAACAUUUAUCAAAUGAAUGUUAUCACUCUCUCCUUGGUGAGGAUCACAGGACAACAGAUAGCCCAAACCCCCUCUCUCCCAGAGGAGAGGGGGAGUUGGGCCAGUUUUAUGACUUAACAACCAGUCAUAAACUUUCUCUCUCUUGCACUGCAGUAUGGAGAAGUUAAAAAUCCCUUUGUUACAACAGAGAGAGACUUUGCCUAAACUUCAAACAAUGAACAUUGGGAAAAUAUAUUUCACUAUCCAAAUGUUGAGAAUUAUGACAGAUAUGGAAAAUGUAUGUCUAUUUGUGAUGUUAUUAAAAUUAUCAGAAAGACUGUAUGACAAGAUAAGUGUACACGUCCUAAUUAACCCAUUUACAUCUACAUUUUGUAAAACUUGUAUGAUUAAAUAUGAAACUAUUUGUGAAAAGAUAGCAAUGUGAUUUUAUCCUUUUAAAUGAGAAUUGGUUUUCUUGCAAAACUUGUGCCAGUCAGUAGCCACACCCAAGUGAGCUCAGAGUUCGUGUCAACAUGAUGUGCUUAAAAGGACUCAUAACGAAAUGUACAUCAGACCAGUCCGCGUGGAGCGGUGGCUACACGGCUGGAAAUGGUUAAAACUACAAGACCAGAAAAUGGUAAGACCCUCUGAAACUCUCGACGAGUGAUAACGGUGAAAACUAGACUAAAACAUGCACCACCUGCAGCUCUGCAUGUAACGUGGUCUAGGACAAUUGACCAAGACGAGAGGGAAGGAAACAUUCCUCUCACCAUCAAAGAUUCCUCUGAAGUACCUGUUCUAACGAACAUAGGGAAAUACAGAUCCCUAAGGACACAGCGUGGUACACCCCUGAUGUAUACAUUCUAAUGAACACACCAGAACAAAAGAAUCCUACAACUAAGAAGGACAUUAUGACCUCUGGUGGACAACCAGAGACUUACACAACCAGAGACCUACAUCGAACCAGAUCCCAUAGACGGAUCGAGUUCAACAGAGAGACAAAGACAUCCACGCGUAAAUAUAUACAUUGCAAAUAUUUUCCAAUGAGUGGUCGUUCAUCUGCAAAGUAUUCAUAUUCCCAUGAGCAUAGCUUUCCAUGUAUGUACGAUAAGUCCACUCUCUUUGUCUCUCCCGCUCUUUAUCUUUCCCCACCCCCUUUCCAUUGUGUAACAAGCCGUCAUAUCGGGUUAGUCCACCAGGGGAUUUUCAUUGCAUUAUAUUAGUAAUCAAUAUAACCUAUACCGUGUGUUUAUGUAAUUCUGUGUGAUUAUUUAGUUAGUAAAUAAACAAUUAAACCAA